CUCUAUGAUGGGGAUAACAGUUGGAAACGACUGCUAAUACCGAAUACGCUCAUGAUGAACUUUGUGAGGAAAGGUGGCCUCUGCUUGCAAGCUAUCGCAUAGAGAUGAGUCCGCGUCCCAUUAGCUAGUUGGUGGGGUAACGGCCUACCAAGGCAACGAUGGGUAGCCGAUCUGAGAGGAUGAUCGGCCACACUGGAACUGAAACACGGUCCAGACUCCUACGGGAGGCAGCAGUGGGGAAUAUUGCGCAAUGGGCGAAAGCCUGACGCAGCGACGCCGCGUGAGGGAUGAAGGUCUUCGGAUCGUAAACCUCUGUCAGAAGGGAAGAAACUAGGGUGCUCUAAUCAUCAUCCUACUGACGGUACCUUCAAAGGAAGCACCGGCUAACUCCGUGCCAGCAGCCGCGGUAAUA
rnacentral:rRNA from 1 species